UGAAUCCGCGCGGGAGAGUUCCGGCCACUGUGUGUGCCGGGCGCCGAAGGAGCAAGUUCCUCCCUUGAAUCUCUCAGGCCCCGUACCGCGUGGAUGAG
rnacentral:ncRNA from 2 species